rnacentral:rRNA from 1 species
AGUGGCAGACGGGUGAGUAAUGUAUAGGAAUCUACCUAGUAGUACGGAAUAAUUGUUGGAAACGGCAACUAAUACCGUAUACGCCCUACGGGGGAAAAAUUUAUUGCUAUUAGAUGAGCCUAUAUUAGAUUAGUUAGUUGGUGAGGUAAAGGCUUACCAAGACAAUGAUCUAUAGCUGAUCUGAGAGGAUGAUCAGCCACACUGGAACUGAGAUACGGUCCAGACUCCUACGGGAGGCAGCAGUGGGGAAUAUUGGACAAUGGGCGAAAGCCUGAUCCAGCCAUGCCGCAUGAGUGAAGAAGGCCUUCGGGUUGUAAAGCUCUUUUAGUGAGGAAGAUAAUGACGGUACUCACAGAAGAAGUCCUGGCUAACUCCGUGCCAGCAGCCGCGGUAAUACGGAGAGGGCUAGCGUUAUUCGGAAUCAUUGGGCGUAAAGGGCGCGUAGGCGGGUUAGUAAGUUAAAAGUGAAAUCCCAAGGCUCAACCUUGGAACUGCUUUUAAAACUGCUAGUCUAGAGAUUGAAAGAGGAUAGAGGAAUUCCUAGUGUAGAGAUGAAAUUCGUAAAUAUUAGGAGGAACACCAGUGGCGAAGGCGUCUAUCUGGUUCAAAUCUGACGCUGANGCGCGAAGGCGUGGGGAGCAAACAGGAUUAGAUACCCUGGUAGUCCACGCUGUAAACGAUGAAUGUUAAAUAUGGGAAGUUUACUUUCUGUAUUAUAGCUAACGCGUUAAACAUUCCGCCUGGGGACUAC